AAGAGAAAUUCCAAAAACCA
rnacentral:sRNA from 1 species